UACGUAGGGUGCGAGCGUUGUCCGGAAUUAUUGGGCGUAAAGAGCUCGUAGGCGGUGUGUCACGUCGGCCGUGAAAACCUGCAGCUUAACUGUGGGCGUGCGGUCGAUACGGGCAUCACUGGAGUUCGGCAGGGGAGACUGGGAAUUCCUGGUGUAGCGGUGAAAUGCGCAGAUAUCAGGAGGAACACCGGUGGCGAAGGCGGCAUCCCUGGACCGGCAUUGACGCUGAGGCGCGGAAAAGCCCAGGGGGAGGCAAAACGGGG
rnacentral:rRNA from 1 species